GUUGAACGCUGGCGGCGUGCCUAAUACAUGCAAGUCGAGCGAACAGACGAGGAGCUUGCUCCUCUUCCGUUAGCGGCGGGCGGGUGAGUAACACGUGGAUACCCUACCUAUAAGACUAAGAUAACUUCGGGAACCCGGAGCUAAUACAGGAUAAUAUGUUGAACCGCAUGGUUCAAUAGUGAACGACGGAUUUGCUGUCACUUAUAGAUAGAUCCGCGCCGCAUUAGCUAGUUGGUAAGGUAACGGCUUACCAAGGCAACGAUGCGUAGCCGACCUGAGAGGGUGAUCGGCCACACUGGAACUGAGACACGGUCCAGACUCCUACGGGAGGCAGCAGUAGGGAAUCUUCCGCAAUGGGCGAAAGCCUGACGGAGCAACGCCGCGUGAGUGAAGAAGGUCUUCGGAUCGUAAAGCUCUGUUAGUAGGGAAGAACAAAUGUGUAAGUAACUCUGCACGUCUUGACGGUACCUAAUCAGAAAGCCACGGCUAACUACGUG
rnacentral:rRNA from 1 species